rnacentral:sRNA from 1 species
GGAUGUGAGGGUGAUCUGGCUGCGAUAUCUAUCACCCCAUUGAUCACCAGGGUUGAUUUGGCUGAUCUGGCUGGCUAAGUGGGUGUCCCCUUCCUCCCUCACUGCUCCGUGUAUAUAUAUCCCUUCCUAAGCUGCACGCUGGGUCAAAGAGGAUGACCUUCCCCGAAUAGAGGAAUAGAGGAGGACUGGUCUUCCGUCAAGGCUGCACUCCCCUGCAAGAACCUCCAACCAAGCUCUCAAGAAUUUUGAAAUGUGAACCACAUAUUAUAAGCUAUGUUAAUUUUCUUGAGAAUGAGAUAGUAUUG